GGAGCAUGCGGCUUAAUUCGACGCAACGCGAAGAACCUUACCAAGGCUUGACAUAUACAGGAAUACGGCAGAGAUGUCGUAGCCGCAAGGUCUGUAUACAGGUGGUGCAUGGUUGUCGUCAGCUCGUGUCGUGAGAUGUUGGGUUAAGUCCCGCAACGAGCGCAACCCUCGUUCUGUGUUGCCAGCAUUUAGUUGGGGACUCACAGGAGACUGCCGGGGUUAACUCGGAGGAAGGUGGGGAUGACGUCAAAUCAUCAUGCCCCUUAUGUCUUGGGCUGCACGCAUGCUACAAUGGCUGGUACAAACGGCUGCGAUACCGCAAGGUGGAGCGAAUCCGAGAAAGCCAGUCUCAGUUCGGAUUGGGGUCUGCAACUCGACCCCAUGAAGUCGGAGUUGCUAGUAAUCGUAGAUCAGCAACGCUACGGUGAAUACGCUCCCGGGGCUUGUACACACCGCCCGUCACAUCACGAAAGUCGGUAACACCCAAAGUCAGU
rnacentral:rRNA from 1 species